GAUGAACGCUAGCGGCAGGCUUAACACAUGCAAGUCGAGGGGUAUUGGUUUUCGGACCAAGAGACCGGCGCACGGGUGCGUAACGCGUAUGCAAUCUACCUUUUGCAGAGGGAUAGCCCCAGAGAAAUUUGGAUUAAUACCUCAUAGUAUAGUACUUUGGCAUCAAGGAACUAUUAAAGUCACAACGGCAAAAGAUGAGCAUGCGUCCCAUUAGCUAGUUGGUAAGGUAACGGCUUACCAAGGCUACGAUGGGUAGGGGUCCUGAGAGGGAGAUCCCCCACACUGGUACUGAGACACGGACCAGACUCCUACGGGAGGCAGCAGUGAGGAAUAUUGGACAAUGGGCGAAAGCCUGAUCCAGCAAUGCCGCGUGAGUGAUGAAGGCCUUCGGUUGUAAGACUCUUUUACUCGGGUACGAUAAUAGACGGUACCGGAGAGAAUAAG
rnacentral:rRNA from 1 species